AGUCCUAUAACGAGCGNAACCCCUGUUGUUAGUUGCCAGCGAGUAAUGUCGGGAACUCUAGCAAGACUGCCGGUGCAAACCGUGAGGAAGGUGGGGAUGACGUCAAAUCAUCACGGCCCUUACGUCCUGGGCUACACACGUGCUACAAUGGUAGGGACAGAGAGCAGCCACUACGCGAGUAGGAGCGAAUCUUCAAAACCGGUCUCAGUUCGGAUCGCAGUCUGCAACUCGACUGCGUGAAGCUGGAAUCGCUAGUAAUCGGAUAUCAGCCAUGAUCCGGUGAAUACGUUCCCGGGCCUU
rnacentral:rRNA from 1 species